rnacentral:rRNA from 1 species
AGGGUUUGAUCCUGGCUCAGAACGAACGGUGGCGACGUGCUUAUUCCAUGCAAGUCGAGCGAGAAGUUCCUUCGGGAAUGGAGAGCGGCGAAAGGGUGAGUAACGUAUGAAUGACCUACCUUCAAGAGGGGGAUAACAGUUCGAAAGGGCUGCUAAUACCGCAUAAGGUUACAUUGGUGCAUGCUGGUGUAAUUAAAGUGGGGGAUCUUCGGACCUCACGCUUGGAGAGGGGUUUGUAUUCUAUUAGCUAGUUGGUGGGGUAAUGGCCUACCAAGGCGAUGAUGGAUAGCCGGCCUGAGAGGGUGGACGGUCACACGGGCACUGAGACACGGGCCCGACUCCUACGGGAGGCAGCAGGAAGGAAUAUUGGGCAAUGGGCGCAAGCCUGACCCAGCGACGUCGUGUGGAGGAAUAAGGCCUUCGGGUUGUAAACUCCUAACAAGUGUUAGUAAGGUGCAGACGCUAAUAUCGUCUGUAAUUGAAAAAGGCACAAGAUGAAGUCAUGGCUAACUCCGUGCCAGCAGCCGCGGUAAUACGGAGAUGGCAACCGUUGUUCGGAAUCACUGGGCUUAAAGGGCACGUAGGCGGAGAUAUAAGUUGAAUGUGAAAUCCCAUGGCUUACCCAUGGAACUGCGUUCAAAACUGUAUUUCUUGAGUUUAGAAGGGGAAAGUGGAACUCCUAGUGGAGCGGUGAAAUGCGUUGAUAUUAGGAGGAACGCCGGUGGCGAAAGCGACUUUCUGGUCUGUAACUGACGCUGAGGUGCGAAAGCUAGGGGAGCAAACGGGAUUAGAUACCCCGGUAGUCCUAGCCGUAAACGAUGGGCACUAAGUAGAGGGACUUUAGUCUCUCUGCCGGAGCAAAAGUAUUAAGUGCCCCGCCUGGGGAGUAUGGUCGCAAGGCUGA